CCUACGGGAGGCAGCAGUGAGGAAUAUUGGUCAAUGGACGAGAGUCUGAACCAGCCAAGUAGCGUGAAGGAUGACUGCCCUAUGGGUUGUAAACUUCUGUUAUAAAGGAAUAAAACGAGGCAAGUGAGCCUUUUUGCAUGUACUUUAUGAAUAAGGAUCGGCUAACUCCGUGCCAGCAGCCGCGGUAAUACGGAGGAUCCGAUCGUUAUCCGGAUUUAGUGGGUUUAAAGGGAGCGUAGAUGGGUUGUUAAGUCAGUUGUGCACGUUUGCGGCUCAACCGUAAAAUUGCAAUUGAUACUGGCAGCCUUGUGUCCAGUUGAUGUAGGCGGACUUCGUGUUGUAGCGGU
rnacentral:rRNA from 1 species